GAGCGCGUGUGGCGGCCGAGCACAUGGGCCCGCGGGCCGGGCGGGCUCGGGGCGGCCGGGACGAGGAGGGGCGACGACGAGCUGCGAGCAAAGAUGUGCCCCGGGACCCCCGGCACCUUCCAGUGGAUUUCCUUGCGGAAAGGAUGUUGGCGGUCCCUGUGACCUGUGGAGACACGGCCAGAUCUGCCCUCCAGAUUUAUUAGGAGAAAAACCUUCCCGGAAGCUGCAGAAGGACAAAUACAGAAUCCGUGUCUGGGAGAAACCUCGUGGCCUGGUCUCCAUUAUUUGAGAUGAGUUACAUCUUGGAGGUGAGGACGUGCCUCGUGGUCUAAAGCUUCGGCACAAGGGCCCAACUGGAAUUCCACUUACGGGCCUGAUCUUUUGGCCAGAAGGAGAUUAAAAAGAUGCCCCUCAAGAUGGCUGUGCCUGUCAGCUGCAUGGAGCUUCGUUCAAGUAUUUUCUGAGCCUGAUGGAUUUACAGUGAUCUUCAGUGGUCUGGGGAAUAACGCUGGUGGAACCAUGCACUGGAAUGACACACGCCCGGCACAUUUCAGGAUACUAAAAGUGGUUUUAAGGGAGGCUGUGGCUGAAUGCCUCAUGGAUUCUUACAGCUUGGAUGUCCAUGGGGGACGAAGGACUGCAGCUGGCUGAGAGGGUUGAGAUCUCUGUUUACUUAGAUCUCUGCCAACUUCCUUUGGGUCUCCCUAUGGAAUGUAAGACCCCGACUCUUCCUGGUGAAGCAUCUGAUGCACGUUCCAUCCGGCGCUCAGCUGGGCUUGAGCUGACCAUACUCCCUGGAGCCUUCUCCCGAGGUGCGCGGGUGACCUUGGCACAUACAGCCAUCAUGAUGGUACUUUAAGUGGAGGCUGAAUCAUCUCCCCUUUGAGCUGCUUGGCACGUGGCUCCCUUGGUGUUCCCCUUUUACUGCCAGGACACUGAGAUUUGGAGAGACCCCGGCCUUUCCAGGAUGCCUUUUGGAGCCCCUGCUGGCCACCACAUAUCAUGUUCUGAAGUUCUACAGCCCUCUGAGUUGGACACUGACCAUCUGGGGGCUCGAGUCAUCCUCAGAUUGAAUCCUGUUACACCUGGGAUUUAGGCACUUUCAAUCUGAAAAAAUACAUAUCCUUUCAGCACUCUGGACGGACUUGAGAACUGUCCUUACGUGACCUAAAGCUGGAGUAUUUUGAGAUUGGAGAAUUAAGAGUGUGGGCACCCUGGCUUCAAGCUCACGAGAAACCAGGUCGGGAUUUAAACAAUGUUGGGUUAAAGCAAAGUUUCAUAAAGACAGAAUCAAGAAAAAAAGAAAGAGAAA
rnacentral:lncRNA from 1 species